rnacentral:rRNA from 1 species
GAUGAACGCUGGCGGCGUGCCUAAUACAUGCAAGUCGAGCGAACAGAUGAGGAGCUUGCUCCUCUGACGUUAGCGGCGGACGGGUGAGUAACACGUGGAUAACCUACCUAUAAGACUGGGAUAACUUCGGGAAACCGGAGCUAAUACCGGAUAAUAUAUUGAACCGCAUGGUUCAAUAGUGAAAGACGGUUUUGCUGUCACUUAUAGAUGGAUCCGCGCCGCAUUAGCUAGUUGAUAAGGUAACGGCUUACCAAGGCGACGAUGCGUAGCCGACCUGAGAGGGUGAUCGGCCACACUGGAACUGAGACACGGUCCAGACUCCUACGGGAGGCAGCAGUAGGGAAUCUUCCGCAAUGGGCGAAAGCCUGACGGAGCAACGCCGCGUGAGUGAUGAAGGUCUUCGGAUCGUAAAACUCUGUUAUUAGGGAAGAACAAAUGUGUAAGUAACUAUGCACGUCUUGACGGUACCUAAUCAGAAAGCCACGGCUAACUACGUG